GUAGCUUUCGGGACUGUCGCUUUCUGAUUUUUCAGAAAGAGGAAAGUCCGGACUCCAAAGGGCAGGAAGCUGCCGAAAGGCAGGUGGGGGUAACCUCACGGAAAGGGCCACAGAAAAUAGACAACCUUCAUUUUAGUAGGCUGGGAAACAGCCGAAAUGUAAAUAGGAAGGUUCAGGUGAAACGGUAGGGUAAAAGCCUACCAGUACUACUGGCGACAGUAGUAGCUGGCAACCCCCUUCCGGAGUAAUCCCAAGUAGGAGAGCGUUAAGGCUGGCCCGGCUUGCUCUCGGGUAGGGAGCUUAGAUAAAUGACAGUCUAAAACAGAAUCCGGCUUACCUGAAAGCUACACCC
rnacentral:RNase_P_RNA from 1 species